rnacentral:antisense_RNA from 1 species
GAGAGAGGGAUGGGCGUGGCUAAUAUGAAAGCUGCACCUUUACUAGUUAGCUACCAUGCGUCAUUAUUUAUCAGAAGAUAUAUGCUGCUUAAACACAAAUACGUUUUAAAAUAUAUUUUAGGCAGUAGGGUUUUGGGGUUUUUUUUGCAAGUUCUUUUAGUGAGUAAAUUUAAUGAUAAAUGAUUUUUUUUUCUUUUGAGACAGUUUGAUCUGUCGCCCAGGAUGGAGUGCAGUGCAGUGGCGCGAUCCUGCAACCUCCGCCUCUCGAGUUCAAGCGAUUCUCCUGCCUCAGCCUCCCGAGUAGCUGGGAUUACAGACGCGCGCCACCCCACCCAGAUGAUCUUUUUAAAUGCAAAAUGCCAUCGACGCAGAAAAUCAAAGGUAUCCAUUGUAUCUGUGCGUUUGAGUUCUAGGAUAUGACAAAGAAAAACAAUUGAAAUAUUACGUAAAUUCAGUAGGAAAAAGAAAGAUGACUGAUAAGUACAUUGUGUACCUCCUUAAGCUGCGCUGUCCAGUAGGCUGUCCUCUAGCCAUAUGUGGCUACUCAGCACUUGAAAUGUGGUUGAGACGGAAAAACUGAAUCGCUAAUUGAAUUUGAAUUAAACUAAAAACAAAAACCUGAUGCUCGAUUCAAUUGUUGGAAUACUUUUAAGUGUGUUUGCAACAACUCAGAUAUAUGAAUCUGUUUUUCCAGCUUAAAUUUUAUGAACUCUAACUUUAGCAUAUGAAUUGAGAUGUGCUGUAAGUAUAUAUCAGCUGGAUUUUUUUUUUUAUUUCUGGACUUACUACAAGAAAUUUUCAAAAAGAAUAUUGAAUCGCACAUUAAAAUUUUUAUAUAUGUUUAAAUGUUUUGGAUGUAAUGGGUUAAACAAAAUAUUACAAUAAAUUGUACCUGUUGCAUUAGAUAACACUGGCUUAAAGUAUUACAACACAGUAGGGCGUGGUGGCUCAUCCUUUGGGAGGCCGAGGAGGGUGGAUCAUCUGAAGUCACGAGUUCGAGACCAGCCUGGCCAACAUGGUGAAACUCCGUCUCUAUUAAAAAUACAAAAAUUAGGCAGGCAUGGUGACACAAGCCUGGGGUUCCAGCUACUUGGGAGGCUGAGGGAGGAGAAUUGCUUGAACCCAGGAGGCAGAGGUUGCAGUGACCUGAGAUUGCACCACUGCACUCCAGCCUGAGCAACAGAGCGAGACCCUGUCUCAAAAAAAAAAAAAAUUACAACACAGAAUAAUUAUAUAUUUAUGGAUACAUGUUAUAUAUUUAUGGAUACAUUUUCUUAAGAGGUAAAAAUGAGAAUAUAUGGAUGGGAUGAUACAUCCCAACUUCAGGGUGAUGCUCAUCUCCAACGAAGGAGGCCAAGGAAUUUGUAUAUGGUGUCAGAGUAAACAUAAAAUAUAAAGAGAUGAAUUUCUAAAUUUAAUGGUUUUUUGGGGAAGCAAGAAUUGCAGUUCAGGACAUACACACAGACUGAGUGGUCUUUAGUAUGUCAGAAGAACAAAGAGAAGGUCGAGAGUUUUAUUAGAAAGAGAAAUGUUGCUACUGUUUUGAAAGAAGGUUCAUUGGCACUAUAGUAAAGUUUUGGGAAGCUGGCAAGCUCUGAUUGGUGAGUGAGAGUGGUAGAUAAAACCAGUCUUAGUCAUAGGAGAUUGUUUCAGCAACUACUCGGUAAAACUGGUCUUAGAGUUACUGCAGGCCAUUUCAGCAGCUGGGUUGUAAAAAACUUAAUUCUUAAUGCUAGAGCUGUGUGCCCUGAUUGCUUUCUCCCCUGGUCCCUCGAUUCUGAUUUAGUUGGGUAUGACAAGAAUGAUCCAGAUUGUAUGAUCAAUUUUCACACUGGGAAUGGCUUAAAGAUGGUUUCUUCUGAACUUUAAAGUUUUUAUUUAUUAAAAAUAUCUGAAACAUG